rnacentral:rRNA from 1 species
GUGGCGGACGGGUGAGUAACACGUGGGUAACCUGCCCUUAAGUGGGGGAUAACAUUUGGAAACAGAUGCUAAUACCGCAUAAAUCCAAGAACCGCAUGGUUCUUGGCUGAAAGAUGGCGUAAGCUAUCGCUUUUGGAUGGACCCGCGGCGUAUUAGCUAGUUGGUGAGGUAACGGCUCACCAAGGCAAUGAUACGUAGCCGAACUGAGAGGUUGAUCGGCCACAUUGGGACUGAGACACGGCCCAAACUCCUACGGGAGGCAGCAGUAGGGAAUCUUCCACAAUGGACGCAAGUCUGAUGGAGCAACGCCGCGUGAGUGAAGAAGGCUUUCGGGUCGUAAAACUCUGUUGUUGGAGAAGAAUGGUCGGCAGAGUAACUGUUGUCGGCGUGACGGUAUCCAACCAGAAAGCCACGGCUAACUACGUGCCAGCAGCCGCGGUAAUACGUAGGUGGCAAGCGUUAUCCGGAUUUAUUGGGCGUAAAGCGAGCGCAGGCGGUUUUUUAAGUCUGAUGUGAAAGCCCUCGGCUUAACCGAGGAAGUGCAUCGGAAACUGGGAAACUUGAGUGCAGAAGAGGACAGUGGAACUCCAUGUGUAGCGGUGAAAUGCGUAGAUAUAUGGAAGAACACCAGUGGCGAAGGCGGCUGUCUGGUCUGUAACUGACGCUGAGGCUCGAAAGCAUGGGUAGCGAACAGGAUUAGAUACCCUGGUAGUCCAUGCCGUAAACGAUGAAUGCUAGGUGUUGGAGGGUUUCCGCCCUUCAGUGCCGCAGCUAACGCAUUAAGCAUUCCGCCUGGGGAGUACGACCGCAAGGUUGAAACUCAA